CAGUCGCCGCGGGAAUACAGAGGGUGCGAGCGUUAAUCGGAUUUACUGGGCGUAAAGCGUGCGUAGGCGGCUUCUUAAGUCGGAUGUGAAAUCCCUGAGCUUAAAUUAGGAAUUGCAUUCGAUACUGGGAAGCUAGAGUAUGGGAGAGGAUGGUAGAAUUCCAGGUGUAGCGGUGAAAUGCGUAGAGAUCUGGAGGAAUACCGAUGGCGAAGGCAGCCAUCUGGCCUAAUACUGACGCUGAGGUACGAAAGCAUGGGGAGCAAACAGGAUUAGAUACCCCGGUAGUCCCUGUCUCUUAUAC
rnacentral:rRNA from 1 species